GUGAACAGCAAUGCCUUCCCACAGGCCUGGCUGAAGGCAGAGUGCCGUGAAUCCCUUUCCUGAUGCCUGCCUACAGUUUCUCUCGAUUCUAAAGUGUCACCCAUCCUUCAUGAACAGACAUUAAUUCUGUACCUCAGGUGCAGAGGGAAUGAAUGCUGGCCUCACCAUAGCUGAGUAAGAGGAGAGGUUGCCACCAAACAACAGGGAAUUCAGCUUUCCCUUCCCCCUUCCUUCCUGGAGGGCACUUUGCACCAGCAGGGGCCGCUCUUGUCUGAAGUCAACUGUGCCAGCAUCAAGCUUAGUUUGAGUUUGAGCUGUGCCUAUGCUAACAGGAAGGGCUGGGCUGGGGGCAAACAACAGGGCUGGGCCGAGGAACUGUUCGUUCCUGGUGCCCAUCACUGACUACUGGCUACAAGGGCAGUGGUGGCAAUGUGUGUUUCAGGAGGAGACUGUACUCAUCGGGAUGCCCAGAUUCCCAGGAAGACCCCUUUCUGCAGAGCCACGAGGAACUGGACACCCUCCUGGGACCGCAGCAGCAGCAGCAGGGUGGCCAACCCUCCUACCCGGGUCAGAGUUCCAGCCAUCUGUCUGCUGCCUCUUUCUUUCACUCUGCUGGCAUGCUGUCCAAGGCUGUGUCCAUGAGUGGCAUCAAUUUCUUCUUGGACUGCUCAGAUCCAGAAGGUAAGUAAAAGUGGGGCUCAAAGAAAGGAUGGCCCCUUCCCUCACCAGUGUCAACAGCAGUCCCAGAGUUAGCUGUUUUGAAUCUCAUGACCCCAAUAAUAUGCAGCCAUACACUCUUGGGGUUCUGAAAACCCCUUCAGGGUGUGUGAGGGGAUCAUCCUUUCACUCAGGACAUCAGCGUCUCUGAGACUGUCCUGCCAGUGAAUGGGACACAAGAUAGUAGGGGGUCUUUCCAGGCUCCCCAUCACUAGAGAUGGGGGGCCACAAUUACUUGAUAUGCAUCUUUGUCCUGAAGCUGGCAAGAUGACUCGCUGGGUAAAGGUGCUUGCCACUAAGUCUAACAACUUGAGUUCAAUCCUGGAACCCACAUGGUGGAAGGAGAGACUCUCCUAAUCUCCACAUGCUGCCCCUCCCCCCCCCACGCACACAAAUGACUGAACAAAGAUUAAAAGAUGGAGGAUGGGGAGCUCAAUGUAGAACUCCAGCCCUCUCCGUUUACCAGAGCGGGAAUGAACCAUCAGUUCCAGCUAGUUCUUCAUGUUAGCUUGUUCUCAAGUUAUUCAGCUGUGCUCUCCUCAGACCCCGC
rnacentral:lncRNA from 1 species